AUGCGCGGGCAGCCAGGGCCGGGCCGUACCGCACCGCGGAGCCCGGCCCCGGCGGGCCAAAGGCCUGCGGCCUCCACAAGGUCAUCGCCGGCGGAGCGGGGCCGAGAGCUCCCGCCAGGCCCGCGGGCCGCCUCCGCGGGGCAGAGGAAGGCCGCCUCCGCGCCCGGCCCGCGUUCCGUCCGUACGACGGAAGCAGGCCGCGGCCCGCCCGGCCCCAGCCGCGACUCUGGGCCCCGCCAACGGGCCAGGCGCGGCCUCGCCACACCGGGCCUCGUCCGCCCGCCACGCCCCGGGACAGCGGAGCGAGGCCGCGCGGCGCUGCCCUCGCCCCCUCGCCCUGCCGCGGCCCGGCGGCGGCCACUUACCCUGCUCCGCCGCCCGGCGCUGCCCCGGCAGGAAGGACGCGGCUGCCGCGGUGAAGGGAGAGAGGGCGGCCUGCGGGAGCGGGGCUCCCCCUGCCGCGGCUGGUCCCGUCCCGGCCUGGCGCGGCUGGCUUGCUGGGCUGGGCAGGGCUGGCGGUGCCGGCCGCGUGCCCGCUUUCCCGUAAGCGCGCCCCCGCGGCGUCAGGCGAGCGGCGCCGCGCCGGGCCCUGCCGCUCACGUGACGGUGCUGUUUACGGGGAGGCGGUGCCACGCUGCGCAGGCGCCGGGUAGGGCCCGGCACGAUCGGGUGGGGAGGGCGCCCGUGCUGCGUGUCGUCUGCCUGCAGCGAGUUUCAGGAAUUCUCUCUCCAAGAUGCAUCUGCUUCAAAGAAUACUGCUACAUUACAAUGGAUAGCACUGAGCUACUGAGUUUAUGGCACCAAUUUCUCCACAGGCUUUCAACAAGUUCUUCAGUCAAAAUAUAG
rnacentral:lncRNA from 1 species